rnacentral:rRNA from 1 species
CAAUAGCGUAUAUUAAUGUUGUUGCAGUUAAAAAGCUCGUAUUUGGACUUCUGCCCGGAGCGUCCGGUCGUCCCCUCACGGGGUCUGUACUUGGACGUCUUUGGGCAUCCUUGGCGAGAGCGUGUUGGGCAUUAAGUUGUCCGGCGUGGGAUCGCCAUCAUUUACUGUGAAAAAUUAGAGUGUUUAAAGCAGGCGUUUGCUGUGAAUACAUUAGCAUGGAAUAAUAAGAUAGGACUUUGGUGCUAUUUUGUUGGUUUGUACACCGAGGUAAUGAUUAAUAGGGACAGUUGGGGGUAUUCGUAUUUAAUUGUCAGAGGUGAAAUUCUUGGAUCGCUGCAAGACGAACAACAGCGAAAGCAUUUGGCAAGAACGUUUCCACCGGUCAAGAACGAAAGUUAAGGGAUCGAAGAUGAUUAGAUACCAU